UGCAAGAAAACAAAUCAAUAGUUAGAUACAAAUGGCAUGUGUCCACCUGCUUGGGAGACCUGGGCCUAGCUAGAUAACAACCACCCAAAUGACUCCAGCAGGCUGAGGUUCUGUCUGCAGGAUAAUACAAAGCACAGAGCCAGAGGCAGUCUGGAGAGAGGAGCUAGGCCAGCCGGCAUUGUAGGCUGCUUCCGAGUUCCUGUUUGAUGAGAUGGUAGGUAAAAGAAAAAUAGUCAUUACUAGAGAGUCUUUGCCCAUGUGUAUGUGGCUAAGGCUACCUGGGACAGUCUAUACCAGCUCUUCUCUAAGCCUUGGUUUUUGGUUUGGUUUUGUUUUGGGGUAUUUUUGGGGGGAGGGAAGCCAGUUGGACAGUCUGUGCUGGCAGCUCCACCACUUCCUAUGGCCAUAGAGGGUGUGACAACCAGCUAAGGCAGUUUCACUUCCUGGUUCUCAAACAUCACCAGGAGGGAACCCGCUUGAGGCCCAGGGCUGCAGAAGAAGGGUCAAGGUUUCAGAACAGAGUACAAACCACCCAAACCACCUUGUCUUACUUGCUUCCUCCCCCCUCAGCCCACACUGUAUGUGAACACAUGUGGAGCUGCAAGCCCUCUCCUGACCUCUCCAUCGGUGAACAGCUCAUUAAACUGGUCCUGUUUCCAAGCUUACACAGGAGUGCCUUUUUUCUUAGAGCCUGAGGCUGUGGGGAAUGGGAGAAGCAGGAACUAGAGCGCAGGGUAUCUCCCUCUGUGAACACAGGCCCCAUUCGUGUCUCCCUGGCUCCGGUUACACUGGGAUGUCUUGCUGACAUGAGACUGCUAACGUUCCGCAUUGCUGCCUGCAUUUUUAAUGGUUUCUGACAACCAUCCCUUGAAUUAAACAUCCUGUGCUGCUAGGGGGUGUUGGUGGGGUGAGGCUGGUGAGAGGAGAAUGAAAACGCCCCUGGGCUUCAAGUCCUAGCUACCGAUCAAUCAACCAUCAUUCAACUGUCUUCCAGGUGCCAGGCAUGGUGCAAGGUGCUGGGGAUACAAAAGAAAAAAAGAAACAGUGGCUGCCCUCAAAGAGCUUAUAAUCAGUCAAUCAAGGGAGAAUUCACCGAAUGCACUUGGGUAUAUAGGCACAAACCAUAUACAAGAUAAAACCAUAAAGACGAGAUUGCCUUAGGGAAGAAAGCAGUAGAAACUGGGGAAAGAAUCAGGAAAGAUCUUGUCUAAGAGGGGAAGCUUGAACUGAGCUCUGAAGGAAACCAGGUGAACAAAUUAAUGAGCCAUGAGCAAAAGACCAAUAGGGAAAUUCACUGGCCAUAACCGAUUCCCACCCUCAGAUGCCAAGCCUAGAAGAUCCAGGACCUGUCAACAUCCCUUCUAGUCAAAAUCUUGACUAGAGAAGAAAGGGGCAGCCAGGUGGCAAGAAGUGGGGUUGGAGUCAAGAAGACUCAUCUUUGCCAAGAAAAACCCCAGACGGGGUCAUGAAGAGUCGGGUAUGACUUAAACAAUUGAUCAACAGCAAAGAGACAAGGAAAUGAGUCCCCAGGCUCUGCCACUUAUUAUUGGCCAGGUAGCCUUGGGCAAGAAUCAUUAUACCUAAGCUUGUAGCUUCAACUGUCACAAGGGGGUUAUUUAAAAAAAGAAAAACAAAACAAAACAAAACCCAGCAUGGAAGGGCCUUUGUAAGCUGUUACUUUGUAAGUUAAGUCCCCCGUAGAUAAAGGAUAUUGUUAUCAUGAAUCUUCAGCAGCCCAAACCACAGCCCUUAUGCAAGGAAUCAUCCCGGUGCUUCUAAGGGAUAUUUCCUGAAGAAUCUUAUGGAAACAUGAGAAUUGUAAAGUCUAUCGAAAUGAAAACUGCAGAACAGGACAAGGAAAGGACCCCUAAACAGAGUUAAGAAGGGUUUUGGUAAGCCUCAAAGGAGGAGCAGAAAGUCAGCGUGAGACUUGAAGAUAAUGUAAAGAGGAACAAAAACCAAGUUGGAAAAUUGGUAAGAGAAGAAAAUAAGAGAAGACUUCCAAUAUCGAACACUACCCAAAGCAGAGAAAGUCAGGGACCAGAAAACUUCAGCUCUGAUGACAGAGAUGCAGUACAACCAAUCAGCUGCAGACCCAAGCCCUUAAGCAGACCAAACCAUGCAUCUCUUCUGGCAAGGAGAUACUUCAACUCCUUAAUUGGAGCCUUUAGGAACUUGAGAUCUCUUCCCUAAUGUUUGAAAAUUUCCUGUUUGUCUGCAUGAAUAUCUGCAUGGAAAGUCUUUUCUUAUCAAUAUGAAUCUGCCUCAUCUGCUUAUUCCCAUUGUAAGAUUGUUAUCCCUCAAGAAAUGCAAACUAAAUUACCUCAAUGUAUUCUAAUGCUUCUCUCUUUCCCCAGGAAAGGUGAAAACCUCUGGGUUCCCAGGAAAGGAGGAAACAAGCAUUUAUUAAUUACCUACAAUG